GUCAACGGCCAUACCACCUUGAACAUGCCCAAUCUCGGAAGCUAAGCAGGGUUGGGCCUGGUUAGUACUUGGAUGGGAGACAUCCUGGGAAUACUGGGUGCUGUAGGCA
rnacentral:rRNA from 1 species